AGAAUCAACGCUGGCGGCGUGCCUAACACAUGCAAGUCGAACGAGAAAGUGGAGCAAUCCACGAGUAAAGUGGCGCACGGGUGAGUAACACGUGACUAACCUACCCUUGAGUGGGGGAUAACCUAGAGAAAUCUGGGCUAAUACCGCAUAAUACCUUCGGGUCAAAGGAGCAAUUCGCUUAAGGAGGGGGUCGCGGCCGAUUAGUUAGUUGGCGGGGUAAUGGCCCACCAAGACUAUGAUCGGUAUCCGGCCUGAGAGGGCGCACGGACACACUGGAACUGAAACACGGUCCAGACUCCUACGGGAGGCAGCAGUGGGGAAUUUUGCGCAAUGGGGGAAACCCUGACGCAGCAACGCCGCGUGGAGGAUGAAGUCCCUUGGGACGUAAACUCCUUUCGAUCGGGACGAUAAUGACGGUACCGAGAGAAGAAGCCCCGGCUAACUUCGCGCCAGCAGCCGC
rnacentral:rRNA from 1 species